rnacentral:misc_RNA from 1 species
UCCGGUUUGUCACCGGCGGUCCCCUUAGAGUUCCCAACUGAAUGCUGGCAACUAAGGGCAAGGGUUGCGCUCGUUGCGGGACUUAACCCAACAUCUCGCGACACGAGCUGACGACAACCAUGCACCACCUGUUUACGAGUGUCCAAAGAGUUGACCAUUUCUGGCCCGUUCUCGUAUAUGUCAAGCCUUGGUAAGGUUCUUCGCGUAUCCUCGAAUUAAACCACACGCUCCACCGCUUGUGCGGGUCCCCGUCAAUUCCUUUGAGUUUUAAUCUUGCGACCGUACUUCCCAGGCGGCGCAUUUAACGCGUUAGCUUCGCCACAAAAGGGGUCGAUUCCUCUUACAGCAAAUGCGCACCGUUUACGGCUAGGACUAC